GACGAACGCUGGCGGCGUGCUUAACACAUGCAAGUCGAACGGUAAGGCCCUUCGGGGUACACGAGUGGCGAACGGGUGAGUAACACGUGGGUGAUCUGCCCUGCACUUCGGGAUAAGCCUGGGAAACUGGGUCUAAUACCGGAUAGGACCACUGCCUGCAUGGGGGGUGGUGGAAAGCUUUUGCGGUGUGGGAUGGGCCCGCGGCCUAUCAGCUAGUGGUUGGGGUGAUGGCCUACCAAGGCGACGACGGGUAGCCGGCCUGAGAGGGUGACCGGCCACACUGGGACUGAGAUACGGCCCAGACUCCUACGGGAGGCAGCAGUGGGGAAUAUUGCACAAUGGGCGCAAGCCUGAUGCAGCGACGCCGCGUGAGGGAUGACGGCCUUCGGGUUGUAAACCUCUUUCAGCACCGACGAAGCGCAAGUGACGGUAGGUGCAGAAGAAGGACCGGCCAACUACGUGCCAGCCGCCGCAGUAA
rnacentral:rRNA from 1 species